GAUGAGCGCUAGCGAUAGGCUUAACACAUGCAAGUCGAGGGGCAGCACAAGGUAGCUUGCUAUCUGGGUGGCGACCGGCGCACGGGUGCGUAACGCGUAUGCAACUUGCCCUAUACAGGAGGAUAACCCGUCGAAAGACGGACUAAUACUGCGUAUGCUCACAACUUGGCAUCAAGUGGUGAGGAAAGAAAUUCGGUAUAGGAUAGGCAUGCGUCCCAUUAGCUUGUUGGUGAGGUAACGGCUCACCAAGGCAACGAUGGGUAGGGGAACUGAGAGGUUUAUCCCCCACACUGGUACUGAGACACGGACCAGACUCCUACGGGAGGCAGCAGUGAGGAAUAUUGGUCAAUGGGCGCGAGCCUGAACCAGCCAAGUCGCGUGAAGGAUGACUGUCUUAUGGAUUGUAAACUUCUUUUAUACGGGAAUAACAAGAGUCACGUGUGACUCCCUGCAUGUACCGUAUGAAUAAGCAUCGGCUAACUCCGUG
rnacentral:rRNA from 1 species